GCCGUUCGGAGGUCGAAAUCAAUUCCGUUUGUAUCCCGUGAAAGUAGACUCACGCAUCUACGUUUCUACACUUUUCGUUCGUCAAACGACCCGUCGACUGCUCGUGCUUCGGAGUCUACGCAGGGUUAGUUGUUUGCCAAGAUCACGUGGAUAAGCAAGCAGUUUAUGAUUUGAAAGCUGGUCCACUCCGACUCUUUUGAUUCCUCGGAGGUUUUUAUGUUAUUAAACUAGUUUCUGUUUUCGAACUCUUAG